rnacentral:rRNA from 1 species
GAAAGUAAGCAAGGGCAGACGGUGGAUGCCUUGGCUCUCGGAGGCGACGAAGGACGUGAUAAGCUGCGAAAAGCCCGGGGGAGGCGCAAAUAGCCGUUGAUCCCGGGAUAUCCGAAUGGGGCAACCCGGCAGGCUGAAGGCCUGUCAUCCCGUAAGGGAGGCGAACGUGGGGAACUGAAACAUCUAAGUACCCAUAGGAGGAGAAAAUAAACAAUGAUUCCGUAAGUAGUGGCGAGCGAACACGGAAGAGCCCAAACCCAUGUCGUCUAGGCGACACGGGGGUUGUAGGACCACGACGUGGCAAGAUAGAGUCAAGUGGAACGCCUUGGAAAAGGCGGUCAUAGAGGGUGAAAACCCCGUACACGACUGACGAUUGAAGCCUAGUGGCAUCCUGAGUAGCGCGGGGCACGAGAAAUCUUGCGUGAAACAGCGGGGCCCAUCCCGUAAGGCUAAAUACUCCCGAGAGACCGAUAGCGAACCAGUACCGUGAGGGAAAGGUGAAAAGAACCCCGAGCAGGGGAGUGAAAUAGACCCUGAACCCGUCUGCCUACAAGCGGUCGGGGUGUUGUUAUGACGGGACGGCGUGCCUGUGGGAUAAUGAACCUACGAGUUACCUUCCCCGGCAAGGUUAAGUACCUAAGGUACGGAGCCGAAGCGAAAGCGAGUCUGAAGAGGGCGGCCAGUCGGGGGGGGUAGACGCGAAACCGAGUGAUCUACCCUUGGCCAGGUUGAAGGUUGGGUAACACCAACUGGAGGACCGGAUGGGUAAGCGUUGAAAAGCUUUCCAAUGAGCUGAGGGUAGGGGUGAAAGGCUAAUCAAACUCGGAGAUAGCUCGUACUCCCCGAAAUGCAUUUAGGUGCAGCCUCUUUAUAGUAUAUCGUGAGGUAGAGCGACUGAUUGGAUGCGAGGGCUUCACCGCCUAUCAAGUCCAGAUAAACUCCGAAUGCGCGAUAUAUAUUUACAGGGAGUGAGGGCGCGGGUGCUAAGGUCCGUGUCCGAGAGGAGAAGAAUCCAGACCACCGGCUAAGGCCCCCAAAUGAUCGUUGAGUUGAACUAACGAGGUCGGAUCGCAGAGACAGCUAGGAUGUUGGCUUGGAAGCAGCCAUUCAUUUAAAGAGUGCGUAACAGCUCACUAGUCGAGCGAUCUGGCGUGGAUAAUAAUCGGGCAUAAACGAUCUGCCGAAGCCGUGGAUGUCGUAAGACAUGGUAGGGGAGCAUUCCAUGCGGCGUCGAAGAUGAGGGAUGACCCUUGUUGGAGCGCAUGGAAAAGCAAAUGUAGGUAUGAGUAACGAUAAGGGGGGCGAGAAACCCCCCCGCCGAAAGACCAAGGUUUCCUGAUCAACGCUAAUCGGAUCAGGGUGAGUCGGGACCUAAGGCAAAGCCGAACGGCGCCGCCGAUGGAAGAAUGGGUUAAUAUUCCCAUACUGCCUCAUGGAGUGACGUGGAGACGGAGAAGUGACAGUCCUGCCGGCUGACGGAAUAGCCGGUUGAAGGGUGUAGAUAUUGAUUCCCGUAGGCAAAUCCGCGGGGAGAGUCGAACCUGACAGUAUACCGAGUACUUGUACGAGGUAAUAUGGACGUAACCAUGCUCCCAAGAAAAUCCGCUAAACUUAUCCAUGCGGCACCCGUACCGUAAACGGACACACGUGGUCGGGUUGAGAAUACUGAGGCGCUCGAGUGAUUCACGGUUAAGGAACUAGGCAAAUUGACCCUGUAACUUCGGGAUAAAGGGUCCUCGUCGUAAGGCGAGGCGCAGAGAAUAGGUCCAGGCAACUGUUUAACAAAAACACAUGGCUAUGCUAAAUGGAAACAUGACGUAUAUAGCCUGACACCUGCCCGGUGCUGGAAGGUUAAGAGGAGAUGUCAUCGCAAGAGAAGCAUUGAAUUGAAGCCCCAGUAAACGGCGGCCGUAACUAUAACGGUCCUAAGGUAGCGAAAUUCCUUGUCGGGUAAGUUC